rnacentral:rRNA from 1 species
AGUGAACGCUGGCGGUAUGCCUAACACAUGCAAGUCGAACGGCAGCACAGUAAGAGCUUGCUCUUACGGGUGGCGAGUGGCGGGCGGGUGAGGAAUACAUCGGAUUCUACUUUUUCGGGGGGGAUAACGGAGGGAAACUUACGCUAAUACCGCAUACGAUCUACGGGUGAAAGCAGUAGAGCUUCGCACCUUGCGCGACUGAAUGAGCCGAUGUCGGAUUAGCUAGUUGGGGGGGUGACGGCUCACCAAGGCGACGAUCCGUAGCGGGUCUGAGAGGAUGAUCAGCCACACUGGAACUGAGACACGGUCCAGACUCCUACGGGAGGCAGCAGUGGGGAAUAUUCCACAAUGGGCGCAAGCCUGAUGCAGCCAUACCGCGUGGGUGAAGAAGGCCUUCGGGUUGUAAAGCCCUUUUGUUGGGAAAGAAAAGCAGCAGGUUAAUCCCCCGCUGUUCUGACGGUACCCAAAGAAUAAGCACCGGCUAACUUCGUG